AAUAGCCUAACGGCUGAACCAGCAACUUGGAGGAAUGUAUAGCUAAGCUAAAUGUAGAAAAAACAUAUUCGAUUUAUUCGUAUAAAAUUCUAGGUAGAGUUAUGAUAAUGACAUUUUCUAUCUACAGGUCUUGACCAACAUGCGUGCCAGCAGUCGCGGCAAGACGCUAAAGACUAGUGUUAUUCAUUUUUAAUAGGUUUAAAGGGUACCUAGACGGUAAAUUAAGCCUUAAUGGGAACUAAUUUAACUAGAGUUAGAUGUAAGGGUGCAUUAAGGUACUAUUGAGUGUAGAGAUGAAAUUCUUUGAUACCAGAUAAUUGGCACGGGUAUAGGCGAAAGCAUCACCUUAUGUAAUAACUGACGUUGAGGGACGAAGGCUUUGUAUCGCUAAAAGGAUUAGAUACCCUAGUAGUCUAAGCAGAAAAUGAUGAGUGUCAUAGGUUAAAUAUUAUUUAGUCUAUAAAUGAAAGUGUAAGCAUUCCACCUCAAGAGUAAUUUGGCAACAUUGGAAUUGAAAUCAUUAGACCGUUUUUGAAACCAGUAGUGAAGUAUGUUGUUUAAUUUGAUGAUCCACAAAAAACCUUACCACAACUUGAAUAUUUUACAAGCGUUGCACGGCUGUCUUCAGUUAAUGUCGUGAGACUUUGGUUAGUUCCAUUAAAUUAGCGUAAUCCCUUGCUUUAUUUUACUUAAUAUAAAGUAGUUCGCCGUUAUAUUGGUUUUGAUAAAAGGGAGUAAGACA
rnacentral:rRNA from 1 species